rnacentral:rRNA from 1 species
GACAGAGGUGCCAAGCGUUAGGCGGAAUCACUGGGCUUAAAGCGUGUGUAGGUGGAUGCCUAAGUGCCUUGUGAAAUCCCACGGCUCACCCGUGGAACUGCUUGGCAUACUGGGUGUCUUGAGCCACUUAGGGGUCGCUGGAACAAACGGUGGAGCGGUGAAAUGCGUAGAUAUCGUUUGGAACGCCAAUGGUGAAAACAGGCGACUGGGAGUGUGCUGACACUGAGACACGAAAGCCAGGGGAGCAAACGGG